rnacentral:rRNA from 1 species
AGGUUCUAGGCCAGUCUACCAAGCAAACGACUUUUAGUUUGCCCCCCCGAAACUAAGUGAGCUACUUUAAAGCAGCUGUUAGAGCUAACCCGUCUCUGUCGCAAAAGAGUGGGACGACUUUUAAGUAGAGGUGAUAAACCUACCGAACUUAUAGAUAGCUGGUUUUUUAAGAAAAGAAUUUUAGUUCAGCCCCAAGCCUUUUAUUAAAUAAAAAAUUUCCUCUGGGCCUGGGAGUUAUUCAAGUAAGGCACAGCUUAUUUGAAACAGGACACAACCUAGAACAUAGGGUAAGCAGUUAAAUUAUCUAGCAAGUGGGCCUAAAAGCAGCCACCUUCUGAAAAGCGUCAAAGCUUAAUAACAAUAAUUUACUUAAUAACCCCAACAACUCCGAACCCGCACGCACUAUUAAAAAACCCCAUAAAAUUAUGGGAGCUAUUAUGCUAGAACGAGUAACAAGAAAAUGACUUUCUCCAAAAUGUAAGCUUCAGCCACAAUAGACAAACUACCGGCAAUCAACGCCUCUGAGCUAACUAUAGCAACAUAACAAGAAAACCCUAAAAACCUCAGCGUCAACCUUACACCAGCACAUUUUUGGAAAGAUUAAAAGAAGGGGAAGGAACUCGGCAAAUAUAAAUCCCGCCUGUAUAUCAAAAAAAACUAGAAA